GAUGAACGCUGGCGGCGUGCCUAAUACAUGCAAGUCGAGCGAACAGACGAGGAGCUUGCUCCUCUGACGUUAGCGGCGGACGGGUGAGUAACACGUGGAUAACCUACCUAUAAGACUGGGAUAACUUCGGGAAACCGGAGCUAAUACCGGAUAAUAUAUUGAACCGCAUGGUUCAAUAGUGAAAGACGGUUUUGCUGUCACUUAUAGAUGGAUCCGCGCCGCAUUAGCUAGUUGGUAAGGUAACGGCUUACCAAGGCAACGAUGCGUAGCCGACCUGAGAGGGGGGGGCGCCCACCCUGGAAUGGAACCACGUCCAGACCCCCGGGGGGAGGAAGAAGGGGGGAUCUUCCGCAAUGGGCGAAAGCCAGAACGGCGCACCCCGGGGGGAUGAAUAAGGUUUGCGGUACCUAAAACCUUUGUAAUGGGGAAAAAAAAAAUUUGAAAGAAACUAUCCACUCCUGAGGGUUCAUUAAUCAGAAACCCAGGCAAACCCCGGGC
rnacentral:rRNA from 1 species